UGACUCAACACGGGAAAACUCACCAGGUCCAGACAUAGAUAGGAUUGACAGACUGAUAGCUCUUUCUUGAAUUCUAUGGUGUGGUGCAUGGCCGUUCUUAGUUGGUGGAGUGAUUUGUCUGGUUAAUUCCGUUAACGAACGAGACCUUAACCUGCUAAAUAGUUUCCUGAACCUCGGUUCAUCGGUUUACUUCUUAGAGGGACUUCGUGUGUUUAACGCGAGGAAGUUUGAGGCAAUAACAGGUCUGUGAUGCCCUUAGAUGUCCUGGGCUGCACGCGCGCUACACUGAUGUGUCCAGUAAGCACCUAACCUCUUCCGAAGGGAACGGGUAACCUUAGCAAAGCACAUCGUGAUGGGGAUAGAUUAUUGCAAUUAUUAGUCUUGAACGAGGAAUUCCUAGUAAGCACAAGUCAUCAGCUUGUGUUGAUUACGUCCCUGCCCUUUGUACACACCGCCCGUCGCUCCUACCGAUUGAAUGUUCCGGUGAAUACUUCGGACUGCGAGGUUUGCAGUUUCUGCGUUCCUUGCGGAAAGUUGAAUAAACCUUAACAUUUAGAGGAAGGAGAAGUCGUAACAAGGUUUCC
rnacentral:rRNA from 1 species